rnacentral:lncRNA from 1 species
GUUGGAAAACAGCCAUAAUUCUGCCGAUUAUGCGCCGAAUACGCAACUCGCCUCUCGUUCUGCGCGUGUUCGGUUCGCAUGCUAAUAGCAUCAAUACGAGAGAUGGAGUGUCGCGCAUCCGUGGUUGUCAAAAGCACCAAAACAGGUAGCAGACGAUUUGCAGGCUUCCGAACUACACGACGAGUGCUGUGUGAUUCUUUCUGAAAGUCAGCAUCGCAAAUGGGUAGUGCUGUCUCCGAACGGCGCUUGUCAACAAGUCUAUGUCGAUCACUGUUGCGCCUGUCCAUGGUGAACCCUAGAUGCAAUUGUCCUACCAAUAACACAUCGUGGGAUACACUGCGGAGUCGCAGAGGCCUGCUCGCCUGAAACUAUUGCGCCUAUUGCAAGAAGUUUAAAGGCUCAACGAUCCAAGUCGGCAAACUCGCAAAUGUCACUUCGCGCUUCAAGUGUAGUCCACAGGGUGCGCGUAGGUGUGCCGCGCCGCACCCGACCUCAUUUUUCGUUUAUCCAAGCUGAGGAGAUUCAGCCAGUGUUUCCAGCUUUAUGGGUAGUCUGUUCUUUGGGAUUAUGACGUGCUUUGGCGUUAUGCGGAUGCCUCACGAUACCACUACACGACACGGAUUACAUUGCCGGAAACGUUUCAUCACGGAAAGCUCCACGGCGUGAGUUGAUCUGUGGCCACAGGGCAAUCUACGACCUACGUUGAUUCGAUGGCUUCUACCGGCAAAGAGGUGCAUGCAUCGCAAAAUUUUCCGGCGGGCGCGAUGAAUUCUCUGUGUUGCCUCAUCUUCUUCCUCUACAGUGGCAACGGAACCAGCCUGGUAAGGUGAGGUGGUCACCGGGAUGGAGACUAUUCUUGCCACCUUUCACCAAGUUGGUUUGACGCUACGAAGUGCCCCAUCCGUAUAUAUCAGCAUGCAUUUCAUGCCGUCAGUGGUUCACACCCCUGCUCACGCGCUCCCCCCAGACGUCUUCGGUCGUCCACGCCCCUUGGCACGUGAGCGUUCGGAAUUUUGGCGGUUUUCGCAGUACGAUAAAAGACAUAUUCUUAAUGUUCGAGCUUUCUUUUCACGGGAGAGCUGCGACGCCCUACAGCUGCAAUCCUGCUGGAACACGAGUCAGGUCCAGCCGGCGAGAGCUCUUCGAAUACCAAAUAUACGAUACGUCCGCGACCGCGAGGUUUUCACAACAAAGCACCCGUACAGCAGACUUGCGCUGCAGCGAAGAACAGACCUCUCUGAACAGGAUCUGUGCACCUCUUCAUUGAUCCUGGCCCUUUCGCCUAAGCCCGGCCAUCCUGCCGUCAAACCGAGCCAGGCAUCCCCAGAGCGGCGUUUACAGCAUUCCUCUCAGCCUCGGCUUCAUCAACUUCUUGGCGUUUUUUUUCAAGCGACGCAUAACGAGAAAAAGAAUCAUGUCGGCGGUCUGUUACAAUUUGACCCGUUCCCAAUACGGUGUAGUGCCUGGGAGUGUCCACAGCGUCCGAGACCACGUCGCAGGGUCGUGUUCUGUACUGAUACGACGUUUCGUAUGUUGAUCGAUCGGCCAUUGAAGACUGGGCUUUUUCAGCCGAGUAAGUCCACUGAGGACCUGGAAUAUGUGGUGGGGGUCGCUCACUCACGCCCCAAGCGGGUGAGCUGCUCAAAGGCUCGGUUCUGAACUCAUCUUUCUCGGCUAUCCCGGUCGAGUCGCUGGACCUGCCAAGGUUCUGAGCUGAGGCGGUCUCGGAAAAUUUUUCCUUGUACACCGUCUUAAACGUAUUGUUCGCAGCAAACUGUAGAAUGUCAUCUUUUUUUAUCAUUGGUUUUGGCCCUGCUUGCUGCGGCAAAUACUGGAACAAAGUCGGUGUAGACUUAUGAAGGGUCGGGGACGCCAGGCUGUCCAUUCUGGUGAUUUUGACUGAAUUCCGCUCACUGAAAGCUUCAGCAUACGUCGUCUCGAAUUCAUUUCGCACCUCUUCUGCCGUUUUCUUGAUCCUCCGUGUCUCAAUAUGUGGCGGGAAAUCUUCCAGGCUCAAUGACGUGGGGAAGCUCUCCAGGUGUUCUGGUACGACUGUUGUAUAAAAUUUGGGAACAUCUUCCUGGCCGUGGGAUACCGCACGUUUCGGUUCAUAGUGUACUUUAUAUGUUGUCAGAUAGUGCGCCUGCACCGGAUCUGAAGCGCGUGCACCCGCCGCUUGAUUUUCCGGCGGAGACAUUGCUGCUAAACCUCGGGC